GACGAACGCUGGCGGCGUGCUUAACACAUGCAAGUCGAACGAAGAGCGAUGGAAGCUUGCUUCUAUCAAUCUUAGUGGCGAACGGGUGAGUAACGCGUAAUCAACCUGCCCUUCAGAGGGGGACAACAGUUGGAAACGACUGCUAAUACCGCAUACGAUCUAAACUCGGCAUCGAGGAUAGAUGAAAGGUGGCCGCUACAUGUAAGCUAUCACUGAAGGAGGGGAUUGCGUCUGAUUAGCUAGUUGGAGGGGUAACGGCCCACCAAGGCGAUGAUCAGUAGCCGGUCUGAGAGGAUGAACGGCCACAUUGGGACUGAGACACGGCCCAGACUCCUACGGGAGGCAGCAGUGGGGAAUCUUCCGCAAUGGACGAAAGUCUGACGGAGCAACGCCGCGUGAGUGAGGACGGCCUUCGGGUUGUAAAGCUCUGUUAAUCGGGACGAAAGGCCUUCUUGCGAAUAGUGAGAAGGAUUGACGGUACCGGAUUAGAAAGCCACGGCUAACUACGUG
rnacentral:rRNA from 1 species